CCCGAGCUGCAGGGGCGGCACCGCCACUCCCGCUCGACGAUGUUGGGGAACGGCCUGAGCCAGCAGCACACCAGCCUUGCGGUCCGAAGGCCGGAGUCGGCAGCGGCGCCGGGAGCCGAUCCCGGGCCUCCGGCUCUGAGAGGAAAAGGAAACACCCAGAAGGCUUCAGAGACAGAUACUAAGUCCUAUUUCUUAAAUGAGGCGGUAAGUAGAUAGGUUUUUGUUUUGUUGUUCUUUCUACCUGUUUCUAAUUCUAUAUUCUAUUUCUGAAGUUCUGUGCCACAGAAAUAAAAGCACUUUCACGUGGUCUAAAA
rnacentral:lncRNA from 1 species